UCAGCAGGCCGGAUGGCCGCUCUGCCAGUGCUUGCGUAUCCAAGGCGGAGAGGAAAGUCCGGGCUCCAUGGAAGCACGGUGCCGGAUAACCUCCGGCGGGGGCGACCCCAGGGACAGUGCCACAGAAAGCAAACCGCCCUCCGAAGCCCUCGGGCGAAGGCGGGUAAGGGUGAAAGGGUGCGGUAAGAGCGCACCGCGUCUUUGGUAACAAAGGCGGCACGGCAAACCCCACCGGGAGCAAGACCGAAUAGGGGCGGCGAGGAGCGGGAAACCGCUCCAGUCUGCUUUCAGAUCAGCCGCCCGGGUUGGUUGCACGAGGUGUCCGGUAACGGGUGCCCAAGAUGAAUGGCCAUCGCCUCGCCGCCAUCUGGCGGCCGAGGCACAGAACCCGGCUUACAGGCUUGGUGACAUA
rnacentral:RNase_P_RNA from 1 species